rnacentral:rRNA from 1 species
AUUGAACGCUGGCGGCAGGCUUAACACAUGCAAGUCGAGCGGGGGAAGGUAGCUUGCUACUGGACCUAGCGGCGGACGGGUGAGUAAUGCUUAGGAAUCUGCCUAUUAGUGGGGGACGACAUCUCGAAAGGGAUGCUAAUACCGCAUACGUCCUACGGGAGAAAGCAGGGGAUCUUCGGACCUUGCGCUAAUAGAUGAGCCUAAGUCGGAUUAGCUAGUUGGUGGGGUAAAGGCCUACCAAGGCGACGAUCUGUAGCGGGUCUGAGAGGAUGAUCCGCCAAACUGGGACUGAGACACGGCCCAGACUCCUACGGGAGGCAGCAGUGGGGAAUAUUGGACAAUGGGGGGAACCCUGAUCCAGCCAUGCCGCGUGUGUGAAGAAGGCCUUAUGGUUGUAAAGCACUUUAAGCGAGGAGGAGGCUACUUUAGUUAAUACCUAGAGAUAGUGGACGUUACUCGCAGAAUAAGCACCGGCUAACUCUGUGCCAGCCGCCGCGGUAA